UGUAAUACCCAGCUGACAAUCCAUACAAAGCAUUUUAAGAGGUCUCCAUAGAUAUUUAGGAAGACAUUAGCAUCUGUCCCUGCACCGUAGAUAUCCCCAGUGAACACGCUGAUCUUGUAUGUGUGAACUGCAGAAAGAAAGAGAGAUGAUUUCUGGUCAGACAAAUAUUAAGAUCCUUGGUUUCCAAUACAAAGGCUGGCCAAUCCCUGGGCUGACAUUUGCUGACUUUCCUUUUCUCUGUCCAAUCAAUGCCUUUGAUCACACAGCUCACGGUUCAAAAUGCAAAGAAUCAUUAUGGUCAUUACUGGAUGGGAAGUCAAUAGAGGUGAAUCAUCUUGUUGUCAGAUGCAAGAGUCAGGAAUGGAAAUGGCAGCUGAAUUCCUUUUGCUCGGCUCAGGAUGAGGAAGUUCAUGACCUCUCCCAAGGACAUAAUGAGCUCUGGGUGAGAAAUGGAGAUCCUUUUCUCGAGGAAAAAGAGAAAUGCUCCAGGUGUGAGAGAGGCAAGAGAAGAGGAAGGGAAAGAGAAGUGAACAGUUAAACCAGCAUGGCACUGAACCACACAUGCAAAUGACUCCCAUAAGGCCUCCAAGAUGGUAAGAAGCAGGCAGCUUUCAGAGUGCUGGGCACCCCAGGAUAUGACUCCAUGAAGAGAGGAGCAUGAGCCACCAUGCAAGAUACAGAGGCCACAAGUCUGACCAGAAGAAUAAAAAA